rnacentral:rRNA from 1 species
UACGUAGGGUGCAAGCGUUAAUCGGAAUUACUGGGCGUAAAGCGUGCGCAGGCGGUUCGUUAAGACAGAUGUGAAAUCCCCGGGCUUAACCUGGGAACUGCAUUUGUGACUGGCGGACUCGAGUAUGGCAGAGGGGGGGUAGAAUUCCACGUGUAGCAGUGAAAUGCGUAGAGAUGUGGAGGAAUACCGAUGGCGAAGGCAGCCCCCUGGGCCCAAUACUGACGCUCAU